AAGGUAGUACGAACAAAGGCAGGGUUUCUAACCCUAGCCUUAAGCGGUUAAACUCCGUUGAUACCUUU
rnacentral:tRNA from 1 species